AGAGUUUGAUCCUGGCUCAGGACGAACGCUGGCGGCGUGCUUAACACAUGCAAGUCGAGCGGAAAGGCCCACUUGUGGGUACUCGAGCGGCGAACGGGUGAGUAACACGUGAGUAAUCUGCCCUCCACUCUGGGAUAACGUUCAGAAAUGGGUGCUAAUACCGGAUGUACACAGGCUGACGCAUGUUGGUGUGUGGAAAGGUUUUUCUGGUGGGGGAUGUGCUCGCGGCCUAUCAGCUUGUUGGUGGGGUAAUGGCCUACCAAGGCUUUGACGGGUAGCCGGCCUGAGAGGGUGACCGGCCACACUGGGACUGAGACACGGCCCAGACUCCUACGGGAGGCAGCAGUGGGGAAUAUUGGACAAUGGGCGGAAGCCUGAUCCAGCAACGCCGCGUGAGGGAUGACGGCCUUCGGGUUGUAAACCUCUUUCACCAUUGACGAAGCUGCAUCUUUUUGGGUGUGGUGACGGUAGGUGGGGAAGAAGCACCGGCCAACUACGUGCCAGCAGCCGCGGUAAUACGUAGGGUGCGAGCGUUGUCCGGAAUUAUUGGGCGUAAAGGGCUCGUAGGCGGUUUGUCGCGUCGGGAGUGAAAACCUUGGGCUUAACUCAGGGCUUGCUUUCGAUACGGGCAGACUAGAGGUAUGCAGGGGAGAACGGAAUUCCUGGUGUAGCGGUGAAAUGCGCAGAUAUCAGGAGGAACACCGGUGGCGAAGGCGGUUCUCUGGGCAUGAUCUGACGCUGAGGAGCGAAAGUGUGGGGAGCGAACAGGAUUAGAUACCCUGGUAGUCCACACCGUAAACGUUGGGCGCUAGGUGUGGGGCCCAUUCCACGGGUUCCGUGCCGCAGCUAACGCAUUAAGCGCCCCGCCUGGGGAGUACGGCCGCAAGGCUAAAACUCAAAGGAAUUGACGG
rnacentral:rRNA from 1 species